GAUGAACGCUGGCGGCGUGCCUAAUACAUGCAAGUCGAGCGAAUGGAUUAAGAGCUUGCUCUUAUGAAGUUAGCGGCGGACGGGUGAGUAACACGUGGGUAACCUGCCCAUAAGACUGGGAUAACUCCGGGAAACCGGGGCUAAUACCGGAUAACAUUUUUAACCGCAUGGUUCGAAAUUGAAAGGCGGCUUCGGCUGUCACUUAUGGACGGACCCGCGUCGCAUUAGCUAGUUGGUGAGGUAACGGCUCACCAAGGCUACGAUGCGUAGCCGACCUGAGAGGGUGAUCGGCCACACUGGGACUGAGACACGGCCCAGACUCCUACGGGAGGCAGCAGUAGGGAAUCUUCCGCAAUGGACGAAAGUCUGACGGAGCAACGCCGCGUGAGUGAUGAAGGCUUUCGGGUCGUAAAACUCUGUUGUUAGGGAAGAACAAGUGCUAGUUGAAUAAGCUGGCACCUUGACGGUACCUAACCAGAAAGCCACGGCUAACUACGUGCCAGCCGCCGCGGUAA
rnacentral:rRNA from 1 species